UGGGGAAUAUUGCACAAUGGAGGGAACUCUGAUGCAGCGACGCCGCGUGAACGAAGAAGGCUUUCGAGUCGUAAAGCUCUUUUAUAUGGGAAGAUAAUGACGGUACCAUAAGAAAAAGCCCCGGCUAACUACGUGCCAGCAGCCGCGGUAAUACGUAGGGGGCUAGCGUUGUCCGGAAUCACUGGGCGUAAAGGGUUCGCAGGCGGAAAUGCAAGUCAGGUGUAAAAGGCAGUAGCUUAACUACUGUAAGCAUUUGAAACUGCAUAUCUUGAGAAGAGUAGAGGUAAGUGGAAUUUUUAGUGUAGCGGUGAAAUGCGUAGAUAUUAAAAAGAAUACCGGUGGCGAAGGCGACUUACUGGGCUCAUUCUGACGCUGAGGAACGAAAGCGUGGGUAGCAAACAGG
rnacentral:rRNA from 2 species